GCCCUAGCCAGUUGGUCCAUCUUUUUGAUGUGUACUUGCUUGGUUGGGGCUUACCUCUUGGUGAGCUGCUAUGCCCUUUACUGGGUGUAGUAGGGAACCAGGACUUUUACUUUGAAAAAAUUAGAGUGUUCAAAGCAGGCCUACGCCCGAAUACAUUAGCAUGGAAUAAUAAAAUAGGACGCGCGGUCCCAUUUUGUUGGUUUCUGAGAUCGCCGUA
rnacentral:rRNA from 1 species